GCCUUUGGGGUGUAAUGGUAGCCCACUCGGCGUGUAUUCAAGAGAUUCAGGUUCGAGUCCUGGCGAGGGUA
rnacentral:tRNA from 1 species